GCAGUGAUGGUCAGUGGUAGAAUUCUCACCUUCCAUGUGGGAAACCCAGGUUUGAUUCCUGGCCAAUGCA
rnacentral:tRNA from 1 species